rfam:Oryza meridionalis cultivar OR44 (W2112) chromosome 3, whole genome shotgun sequence.
AUACUUACCUGGACGGGGUCGAUGGGUGAUCAAUAAGGCCCAUGGCCUGGGCUAAUGGCCCACAUUGCACUUGGUGGAUGCGUUGGCCUGCCAUCUCCCCAAGUGGGAGAGUGGACGUCAUAAUUUGUGGUAGAGGGGGUACGCGUUCGCGCGGCCCCUUC